rnacentral:lncRNA from 13 species
UAAGUUUUAAAGAAUUUAAGCUUUAAUCAACUAUAAAAUUAUAUGGGCUGGACACUGUGUCUCACGCCUGUAAUCCCAGCAUUUUGGGAGGCCAAUGUGGGCAGAUCACGAGGUCAGGAGUUCAAGACCAGCCUGGCCAAUAUGGAGAAACCCCGUCUCUACUAAAAAUGCAAAAAUUAGCUGGGUGUGGUGGCGGGUGCCUGGAAUCCCAGCUAAUCGGGAGACUGAGGCAGGAGAAUCGCUUGAACCCGGGAGGCAGAGGUUUCAGUGAGACGAGAUCCUGCCACUGCACUCCAGCCUGGAUGACAGAGCAAAAGUCCAUCUCAAAAAAAAAAAAAAAAAAAAUUAUAUGAAACUUUUCCUCAUUAGGAUAACCAAAGGCCCAGCUGUUUUAGGCCUGAGGGGAGUGAUUUGCUUAUCUCACGCAAGUGAUUUAUUGAGAGAGAAGCCUGUACCGAAGUGAGGAAAUAGCAAGAGAAUGAGCAAAGACGCGGCUUUUGCGGAAGUCCAAGGGCCGCUCUGCAACGUGAGGGGCGCCCCAUGCUUGGCCCCCAUCCAUCAGGGUGGCUGUGCUCUGCACCCCUGCCGGCGCCUGUGGGAGGAACACAAUCUCCUGCAGGCAGCAACCUCCCAGGAGCUGAGCACGGUUCUUCCGAGAAGGGGGCAGCUGUGAGCCACCAGCAGCCACACACCACAGCCGCGGGGUGGAGGCACUGCCUGGUGAAGAAACUGGGCAAGGACCCAACAGUGUCCUCAGUAGGCUCCAAGGAAGCCAGAGAGGAGCAACCAGCCGUGAUCUCAAAGAAGAAACUGUCAUCUGGGGGCCUGUUGACUUCUGAAAUUAUCCAGGAAGAAAGAGGAAAGAGUGGAAAACAAACCAGAUGA